AUACAGGGGUGGUAUCCGGUAAAAUGUAUAGCACACACGAGAGUCGAUAGAAAUGUUAAGUGGUCACAAAAACGUAUUCUGACAUCAAAUUAUAUAAGAGGAAUUGAGGCUUGAACGUUAUCAAAUGCCACCUCUUCCUCUCGGGUAUUAUGGUAAAGAGUUUGCGAUAGUCUGUGCAACUGAAUUUUUCGUAUGAUUUAAAAUUGGGUUUAUAUAUGCAUUUAAUUCAAGUUUUAGUUGUUGAAGUCGUAUGUGAAAGUAUUUUUAAUUUUUAAACUGUGGCUGCCUCCUUAAAUCACUUGCCCCCCUUUGGCGCAGACAUUCUACGUCAUACUGACAUGUCUGGAUAGAGCUGGGGCUCGACAUCAGAACGACUUCUUUUGGUUUCAAUCGAUCACUGUUGGAUAACUUGUAUUAAACAAAAAAAAAAAAGCAUGGCCUCAAGUUGUCGAAAACCAGAGCAUAUUGCCCCGCUUAAGAAUGUUCUACAACGAAGAGGAGGCCAAUAAAUAUUUUCAAAAUUCUCGGGUGAUUGAGAUCCAGGGCCAGAUGUCCUAGAGGGCUGUGGAGCUGCUGAACCUGCCGGAGGACCUGCCCUGUAUCCUGCUAGAUGGGCAUGAUGUCCUAGAGGGCUGUGGAGCUGCUGAACCUGCCUGAGGACCAGACCUGUAUCCUGCUAGAUGGGCAUGAUGUCCUAGAGGGCUGUGGAGCUGCUGAACCUGCCUGAGGACCAGCCCUGUAUCCUGCUAGAUGGGCAUGAUGUCCUAGAGGGCUGUGGAGCUGCUGAACCUGCCUGAGGACCAGCCCUGUAUCCUGCUAGAUGUGGGGUUCUUCCUGUGUCUGUUGGUUGGGUUUUCAGGAAGCCUAUCCAAGUGGUUGGGGUCAGAGACGGUGGACAGGAGUGUCCCAAGUCAAGUCCAAUUCACAGGACAGAGGUCAGGCCAGGCACAUUUCCCUGCCCUGAUGAGGUUGAAGGACCCAGAUGGACAUAGAGGGCUGUCGUCCUGCCUGACUACAGUUACUGCCCGGCAGCUUUUCCUCCCUCUGACAUCACAUGAUCAAGCAGAUGGGGAUUUGGGAAACUCACUGCUCAGCCUGUAGGGUCUCCACUUGCGCCUGCUGAAUAGCUUUAUGGGUCAGCCGCUUCAGGUGAGUGGUCACGGGUGUUUGCAGUGUUUGCUGGGUUCCAGCCUUGGUGUGAGCCGAAUCAGGAGGAAGUGGUCACAGGUGUUUGCAGUGUUUGCUGGGUUCCAGCCUUGGUGUGAGCCGAAUCAGGAGGAAGUGGUACUCGUUUGGAAAGCAGCGUGUGACGUCCUUUACAAUCUGUCACGAGACAUAGAGCAGAUUGAAGUUAAAGUUGAGUAAAAACAACUACAGGUUGAUUAGCGCUGCGGUGUCUCGAUCCCUUCCUGUGUCUGCUGGUGGUCAUUUCCUGUUUGUCUUCGUGAAGAUCUCGCUUUAAGAACAUGAAGGGCAAGUCUGCAAAGAAGGGAAAGACUGGAUCCUGGAGGGGAGGAGAAGACAGGGCAGGGAGGUCCGAGCUGACACAACGUACACUGCCCGGCAGAGAAGGACUCACUUCUGAACCCCAGUCAGUCCUGUGUGUUCCGGGCCUGGAGAUUCACCAUUAUGGAAUACUACUGUCCUGUGGACAGAAUCUGGACAGAAACUGGCCCCUCUCUAGGACAUGGUCCCAAUCCUCUGGACAGAAACUGGCCCCUCUCGAGGACAUGGUCCCAAUCCUCUGGACAGAAACUGGCCCCUCUCGAGGACAUGGUCCCAAUCCUCUGGACAGAAACUGGCCCCUCUCAAGGACAUGGUCCCAAUCCUCUGGACAGAAACGGACCCCUCUCUAGGACAUGGUCCCAAACCUCUGGACAGAAACUGGCCCCAACAAAUGGACAGCAAAGAAAAUAAAUUCCUCUCUCUGAUCUUAGACCCAUUCUUCUGGACUAGAUAAUUUCCCCUCGAGCUGCAUAUUCUAUUUUAAAUGUUUGAUGUGGACUUUUUGUUUGAAAGCUUGAAUUAAACAUGUUCUGUAACAUGUCUUUAACUGCACUGUUGGUAAAGGCCUUGUGAGGAAGCCAUUUCACGGUAAGGUCAACCCCUGUUGGUAAAGGCCUUGUGAGGAAGCCAUUUCACGGUAAGGUCAACACCGGUUGGUAAAGGCCUUGUGAGGAAGCCAUUUCACGGUAAGGUCAACACCUGUUGGUAAAGGCCUUGAGAGGAAGCCAUUUCACGGUAAGGUCAACACCGGUUGGUAAAGGCCUUGUGAGGAAGCCAUUUCACGGUAAGGUCAACACCUGUUGGUAAAGGCCUUGAGAGGAAGCCAUUUCACGGUAAGGUCAACACCUGUUGGUAAAGGCCUUGAGAGGAAGCCAUUUCACGGUAAGGUCAACACCUGUUGGUAAAGGCCUUGAGAGGAAGCCAUUUCACGGUAAGGUCAACACCUGUUGGUAAAGGCCUUGAGAGGAAGCCAUUUCACGGUAAGGUCAACACAGGUUGGUAAAGGCCUUGAGAGGAAGCCAUUUCACGGUAAGGUCAACACCUGUUGGUAAAGGCCUUGAGAGGAAGCCAUUUCACGGUAAGGUCAACACCGGUUGGUAAAGGCCUUGAGAGGAAGCCAUUUCACGGUAAGGUCAACACCGGUUGGUAAAGGCCUUGAGAGGAAGCCAUUUCACGGUAAGGUCAACACCUGUUGGUAAAGGCCUUGAGAGGAAGCCAUUUCACGGUAAGGUCAACACCGGUUGUAUUCGGCGCAUGUGACAAAUAAAAUUUGAUUUGAUGUCUUGAUUCAUAGGCCCAUAUCAAUCCCAGUGAAUAUUCAUGUCAUGUAAUUUGGAGGCCAAUUGUCAACCCAGUGGAUAGUCAUGUAAUUUAGAGGCCAAUAGUCAUGGAAUUUAGAGGCCACUCGUCAUCCCAGUGGUUAGUUAAAUCAUUUAGAGGCCACUCGUCAUCCCAGUGGUUAGUUAAAUCAUUUAGAGGCCACUAGUCAUCCCAGUGGUUAGUUAUAUCAUUUAGAGGCCACUAGUCAUCCCAGUGGUUAGUUAUAUAAUUUAGAGGCCACUAGUCAUCCCAGUGGUUAGUUAAAUCAUUUAGAGGCCACUAGUCAUCCCAGUGGUUAGUUAAAUCAUUUAGAGGCCACUAGUCAUCCCAGUGGUUAGUUAUAUCAUUUAGAGGCCACUAGUCAUCCCAGUGGUUAGUUAUAUCAUUUAGAGGCCACUAGUCAUCCCAGUGGUUAGUUAUAUCAUUUAGAGGCCACUAGUCAUCCCAGUGGUUAGUUAAAUCAUUUAGAGGCCACUAGUCAUCCCAGUGGUUAGUUAAAUCAUUUAGAGGCCACUAGUCAUCCCAGUGGUUAGUUAAAUCAUUUAGAGGCCACGAGUCAUCCCAGUGGUUAGUUAUAUCAUUUAGAGGCCACUAGUCAUCCCAGUGGUUAGUUAAAUCAUUUAGAGGCCACUAGUCAUCCCAGUGGUUAGUUAAAUCAUUUAGAGGCCACUAGUCAUCCCAGUGGUUAGUUAUAUCAUUUAGAGGCCACUAGUCAUCCCAGUGGUUAGUUAAAUCAUUUAGAGGCCACUAGUCAUCCCAGUGGUUAGUUAUAUCAUUUAGAGGCCACUAGUCAUCCCAGUGGUUAGUUAUAUCAUUUAGAGGCCACUAGUCAUCCCAGUGGUUAGUUAAAUCAUUUAGAGGCCACUAGUCAUCCCAGUGGUUAGUUAAAUCAUUUAGAGGCCACUCGUCAUCCCAGUGGUUAGUUAAAUCAUUUAGAGGCCACUAGUCAUCCCAGUGGUUAGUUAUAUCAUUUAGAGGCCACUAGUCAUCCCAGUGGUUAGUUAAAUCAUUUAGAGGCCACUAGUCAUCCCAGUGGUUAGUUAAAUCAUUUAGAGGCCACUCGUCAUCCCAGUGGUUAGUUAAAUCAUUUAGAGGCCACUAGUCAUCCCAGUGGUUAGUUAAAUCAUUUAGAGGCCACUAGUCAUCCCAGUGGUUAGUUAAAUCAUUUAGAGGCCACUCGUCAUCCCAGUGGUUAGUUAUAUAAUUUGGAGGCCACUAGUCAUCCCAGUGGUUAGUUAAAUCAUUUAGAGGCCACUAGUCAUCCCAGUGGUUAGUUAAAUCAUUUAGAGGCCACUAGUCAUCCCAGUGGUUAGUUAAAUCAUUUAGAGGCCACUAGUCAUCCCAGUGGUUAGUUAUAUCAUUUAGAGGCCACUAGUCAUCCCAGGCCUGUGGGCUACAUGUAAUUAUUUUGAGAUAUGCCCCGUAUUACAUUGUCGAUAGUCUCGUUCAUCUGAAUGCAGUUAUUAACUGAACAACGUGUCUUAUCUCUGUAAUAAUAAACAUGUUCUCUACACGUGA